rnacentral:piRNA from 1 species
UGGCUAACCUACGUUUGAAUACGAAGUG